CUCAAAGGAAUUGGCGGAGGCGCACCACCAGGAGUGGAGCCUGCGGCUUAAUUUGACUCAACACGGGGAAACUCACCAGGUCCAGACACAAUAAGGAUUGACAGAUUGAGAGCUCUUUCUUGAUUUUGUGGGUGGUGGUGCAUGGCCGUUCUUAGUUGGUGGAGUGAUUUGUCUGCUUAAUUGCGAUAACGAACGAGACCUUAACCUACUAAAUAGUGGUGCUAGCAUUUGCUGGUUGUCCGCUUCUUAGAGGGACUAUCGGUUUCAAGCCGAUGGAAGUUUGAGGCAAUAACAGGUCUGUGAUGCCCUUAGACGUUCUGGGCCGCACGCGCGCUACACUGACGGAGCCAGCGAGUCUAACCUUGGCCGAGAGGUCUUGGUAAUCUUGUGAAACUCCGUCGUGCUGGGGAUAGAGCAUUGUAAUUAUUGCUCUUCAACGAGGAAUUCCUAGUAAGCGCAAGUCAUCAGCUUGCGUUGAUUACGUCCCUGCCCCUUGCACACACCGCCCC
rnacentral:rRNA from 1 species